AUUUCUUGACGUCUCCACGUGGAGGGGAUGUUACCAGAUGUCACUAUGGAAUUUAUAAGAGAUAAAUAAUAAAAUAAAGCAUCAUCAUCUAAAUGAGAGAUAAAGGAAUACGGAAUACCGUCCAGUCCAGGAGCAGAAUCCUUAACAUGAGACAAUACACCUUUUAGUUCAGUGAGAGAAAAUAUACUGUUUAAACCAAAACAGUUAUCAUUAUUUAUAUUUAUUACAGGGUAACCAAUUAUUAAGUCUUCAGGAACGAAAGGUGGAGCCAAUUUAUCUAAAAAGCUAUUAACUAAAUGAAAAGGGAUUGAUUUUGGGGAUGAAUCUUUGUAUGCAGAUCUAAACCUUCUUAUAUUUUGCCAUACAAGAGAUGGUUUGACAUCAGGUUGGAAAUGAUAAUAAUAGUGGGAAGUGAUCACUACCAAAAGUAGUGAGAUCGUAAUGGAUCCCAGGACAAAGAAGAAGCAAGAUUAGGUGUAGUGACUGUUAAAUCUGGAGCACUUGGGCCCUCGUCAGGAUGAGAACGUCGUGUAGGACGACCAUCAUUUAAUAUACUCAAAUUCACUGAAUCAAAUAUAUCUAUUAAUGUGUUACCAUAACUAUUAGAAGAUAAGUAACCCCAGGAUUCAUGGCGACAGUUAAAAUCACCAAGGAUCAUAAAAGACUCCGGAAGAAUGGAAAUAAUAUCUUUAAUUUCAUUUAAGAUUGCAGAAGAAGGAUGAGGUAUAUAAAUAGAUACAUAACAGAUAUUUUCAACUAAAGCAGCAAUAAUAGAAAAAUCAUUACUGUGAGAAGGAAUAGAGAAGAGAGAAAAGGAAAGAGGGUGUUUCACAAGCAUGGCUACUCCGCCAUGCCCAUCCACACGAUCUUCUCUGAGACAUGAAUAACCACGAAUCUUAAAUAAAGAUCCUGGUUUCAACCAUGUCUCUUGAAGAGCACAGAUAUAAGGUUUAUAUUUAUUUAAUAAAUAAAUAAGAUCACUUUUUUUAGGAGUGAUGCUUUGACAAUUCCAUUGAAGAACUUUGUCCAUUAUUUGGUUUAUAAAUUUGAGUAAUUGCAGAAACUAAUAAGGCAGCGUUGGACGGUGAAAAUUCAUUCGAUUGACUAAGAGAUUUUAUAAGAGAAAUAAUUAAAUCAAUUACUGAGGAUUCCAAA